rnacentral:piRNA from 1 species
UAAGCCAUUGACAGUAUUUCCAAUAAUGGGU